GAUGAACGCUAGCGGCAGGCCUAAUACAUGCAAGUCGUACGGCAACACAGUUGCGAGCAAUCGCAACCGGUGGCGAGUGGCGCACGGGUGAGUAACGCGUAUGUAACCUACCCUUCUCCGGGACAUAACUCCGCGAAAGCGGUGCUAAUAUCCCAUACCAACUCAUCAAGACAUCUUCUUGAGUUGAAAGCAGCAAUGCGGUGAAGGAUGGGCAUGCGUCCCAUUAGCUGGUUGGUGAGGUAAUGGCCCACCAAGGCUACGAUGGGUAGGGGUUCUGAGAGGAAAGCCCCCCACACUGGUACUGAGACACGGACCAGACUCCUACGGGAGGCAGCAGUAGGGAAUUUUCGGCAAUGGGCGCAAGCCUGACCGAGCAACGCCGCGUGAGUGAUUUAAGGCCUUCGGGUUGUAAAGCUCUGUUGUAAGGGAAGAACAUCAGGAUAGGAAAUGAUCUUGAACUGAACGGUACCUUACCACGAAAGACCAACGGCUAACU
rnacentral:rRNA from 1 species